UACGUAGGCAGCGAGCGUUGUUCGGAAUUACUGGGCGUAAAGAGUGUGUAGGCGGUGUUCCCAGUCUGUUGUGAAAUCUCCCGGCUUAACUGGGAGGGUGCAGCGGAAACUAGAAUGCUAGAGGGUGGGAGAGGUAAGCGGAAUUCCUGGUGUAGCGGUGAAAUGCGUUGAUAUCGGAAGGAACGCCGGUGGCGAAGGCAGCCCCCUGGGUUAACACUGACGCUCAGGCACGAAAGCGUGGGGAGCAAACAGG
rnacentral:rRNA from 1 species